rnacentral:misc_RNA from 1 species
CCAUUUCAACUCCUGGUUUUAUCUUGACCAACUUGAUCCCUUUUUAUCUCAGAUCAUUUUUAGCUAUAGAUUACACUGCUUCAGCCAUAAGACCGCAAAGACCAAGAACUAGCUACUCAAUCCAAAAGGGAAGAGUUGAUAGACCUUCAAAAUGGUAAUGGUGAAUGCAAGACUCUUGAAAAUAUUGAGGGCCAUAAUAUUUUUUAGGGACCACAAGAAUCAAUCAAGAUUACUGCAAGGGAAAGCUUGAGCUCUGAUCAUCACUAGCUUUCAU